CACGUAGGGGGCAAGCGUUGUCCGGAUUUAUUGGGCGUAAAGAGCUCGUAGGCGGUUCGAUAAGUCGGGUGUGAAACCUCCAGGCUCAACCUGGAGACGCCACCCGAUACUGUUGUGACUGGAGUCCGGUAGGGGAGCGUGGAAUUCCUGGUGUAGCGGUGAAAUGCGCAGAUAUCAGGAGGAACACCAAUGGCGAAGGCAGCUCGCUGGGACGUGACUGACGCUGAGACGCGAAAGCGUGGGGAGCAAACAGG
rnacentral:rRNA from 1 species